GCUGGGGGUCGCUUCCCCCCCUCCUGCCCCUCAGCCCCCCGAGUGGGGCUGGGAGAGCUCCUGGAGAAAAUGGGUCUGCUGGGGGAAAAAUCUAAACUUUUCUCAUGAGAAGUCUGUGAUAAGGCUGACUAAUUUGUAUGUAAGUAAAUGGAGAAAUCUCUCCCUCUGUGGUUAAGGGUUUAGUCAUUGUAUUUAAGACUAUUUCUCUUAAAAUGUGCUGAAUGGAACUGGUGGAGGGACAACUAACUUGCAAUAGCCAAAAGCUCGCUCUCCUUUGAAGAGAGAUGUCUUCUGCUUUGUUACCUUCUUGCUGAAGUGGAAUGGCGGGGGAGAACUUCCAGGUCUAACUCUGUUUUCUUCUCAGCGUCUGCCCCCAGAAUGCUGGUAGCUGCGUUGCUGGAGUUUCUCGAACUCGGUGGAGCUUCCCGAGCUCGGAGCGGUGCCGCCUGUCUGGCCGAGUGCCGCCUUGGGAAAGGAACCCGGAUGAGUUUGCUGAGGCCUCUCUCCGGUUUCUCGCCGGGUGACUCGAGCCGGUGCUUCUGGGCCGAACCCUGCGCGUCCAACCUCGGUGAGUCGGUUCCUGCGGAGCUUUGUCCCGAGUGGAGAGCGAAGCCUGAUGCGGCCGAUGGAAAUAGGUCCUGCUCUGUAACAAAAGAAAUGGAACCCUGCUGCGACUCUGCCCUUGCGCGUGUUAAGUUGUAUCUCUGUACACAAGUCUGCAAUGACCAAUGGGCUUUGCUUUGACUUAGUUAUUGCUGUGAUAAUGGGGGAGAGAAAGUGGAGUUACUUGAGUUAGAUGUGAUACUGCUUCACUAUGGCUUAAUCUAAUGGCUCUUUUCAGUUGUCUGAGUAAUUGAACUCAUUAGUUCAAGAUUGAAUUGCAGGCGAUUCAUGCGUCCCUCCUCCUGAUGAACAGAAUGUUUGUUUUCUACCUCGAGGAAUGUCUAAAAUGUUCAUUACUGUGCUAUGAGAUGAAGUUAAUAAAAAAAAAAAACCCGUCA
rnacentral:lncRNA from 1 species